UCAUGCUUGCAGCCGUAUCCACAUGACUGAUUAGAAGGGCUUAUCUGAGCCUCCUUUUUGUUCAGUUUCUUGCAUGAGUUGUUGCUGAUGGAGAGAUGCCAAACACAAAUAUUUAUUCUUUUGUACAUUUUUUCAUAUGGUGCCCAUGUGUAAUAAAUCAAUACUUCUAUGCAGAUAAGAUGAAACAUUAUGGUUUUGCUAUAAAUCAAUAAUUAUGGUUUUCCCAAUAAAAAUGAUUCCUGGAGCAUGAUUUCGUAUGAGAUUUUUUCUGUUGUGUAUUGUUAACUAAGUUGCAUGGAAACGGGUACUGGUACAGGUGCGGGUACGGGACACGACAAAACUGUAAAAUGUAGGGUACGGGGGCACGACUACAUAUAUAUAUUGAAUUAAUACUAUACAUAAGAUAAAAAAUUUCCCCUUCAUGUGUCAUUAGAAUUAAAAUUCCGAUCACAUUUUUGAGUUUCUUUUAUCAUAUUGAUUAUCGUGAAUUGUAAGCUACUCAUUUUUUUUACUAGACAUCUAAACGACCCAUUAACUAUAUAGUUUUAAACUUGGGUAUGGACUGAAACGAAUCCGACCCGUAUCUCAUUAGUUUCAAAAGACGGAUGUGAAGCGUAAGCUCUACGUCCAGGAAGUCUUUGACAAGCAUUUUAAAUUAACACAUAUAACGUAUAAUUGAGUACAUGUUGUAAUAAGUGCAUGCAUAUAUUAAAGAAGUGUCCAUGAAGUUUGGGUACGGGAAAGUGUCGGGUACGUGUCCGGUACGGAUACGGCUUCAUUAUAGAAGUACCCAAGUAACAUAGAUUGUUAACUAUGGUUUUCCCAAUUGAAAAUGAUUGUUGGAACAUGACUGGUUCAUAGGAAAUUAUAUUUCUUUGUUGUGUAUUUGUUCCUUUGACCCAUGUUAUUUGCAGCUUACACUUGGGGGGCAGUCCUGGAUUGCCUGCUACAUCGCAGGUAUCAAACUUCUCAUUGAUAUGAAGGAUGGGAAAUCCUAAGGCUCAUUUAACAAUUGUGAUGGUGUUAGGGGGUAAUUCUAAAAUUGCCAAUGAUUUGGAGGGCAUGACGUCGAAAGAAACCUUUAGCUUUCAGACCUAGCCUGGACAAACUUAAAAGCUGAAGAAAACCUGUGAGGAGGUGGUUUCGCGGGCAGAAGUGAAAAAAGCUUUGUUAAUUCUCUUCUCUUGCAAGUCUUCUCCUAGGCCUUUUCUCUUGUUGCCUUCAAUGCAUGAGCAAAGGAUAAAAUCAUACAGAGGGUUCUCAACAGAAAAUCAUAUAAGCAGGGAGGCAUUAUUUCUCUUCAUCCAUCUCAGGGACAAUGAUGAAAUGCCCUUUGGCAAGAUUUAGGAGUCUUGUGUUAUCUUUUACUUGAAGAGUUUGGAUUAUCUCUACUUCUCAAACCAAAACCCUAUCUGCUUUUGGUAUUAUUUUCUUGGGUUAAUUGCGGGUAGACCCCCAUAUUAUUGCUGUUUUGAACUUGCUAUCUUUUUUUAGACAAUCUGCACCUUUUCCCCCAAUGGCGUGGCAGUUUUGUAGCCAUUUUGGUAUUUUCUGCAGAUAGAAAGUGGUUUGGCCCCUUUCUUUCUCUCUGAUUGAUGGGCUGACCUGAGUCUCUGAGAUCUUGGUUGAAUAGACGUCUGCAUUGAUGACUCAUUCAGGAACAAACCCUUAUUAUUGUUGUUGUUGUUGCUGCUGCUGCUGCUGUUGCUGCUGUUGCUGCUGUUCUAUGAUGAUAAUGCUCAUUUCACAUAUACAUAUAGGCGAUGAUGAUUUGCCCAAAGAAAAUGAUUAUUGAACCAUGACAACAUUCAUUCAGCAUUCUUGAAGCCAAACCCCAAAAUUAUCACAGGGCAAGUGACUGUUUCAACCAUUGAGUAAGCGUGCACAGUGUUGCUUAACAAAAAGGAUGUGGUGAGAUGAUCUAUGAGCCUUGGAUUGAGGAAAUUUUGCUGUUAUUCCUCUUCCCCAUUUUAUUCUCUAGUUUGAGACGAAGAGGUUUAAUGAAUUUAACCAGUGAGACUCUAAAGAAGAAGCUGUCAGCAAAUUAUUUGGCGAUGACAGUUCUCUGGCGUCUGAAUGCUAUCCGGGGAGUAAAAACACGUUGAUUUUUCGCUGCUUGGUGUCUUGCUUGUACGGUGACUCUUACAACACUACGAUAAUAUUUUUGAGAAAAUUGCAAUGGCUAUAGAUCAAGUAUGGGUUAAAAGUAGUGUAUUAUUUGUGAGGAUCGGAUCGCUCCUUGGUCCUCGAUGAAAAAUAUGAUCCUGGCCUUUCUCAGUAUAUCCCGACUUUCAGUUGAUGUAACCAUUCUUUCAAGUCAAUGUAAACGAAGAUUGUCAUAUGUUGCUGUAUUGUUCACUUC